UACGGGGGGAGCAAGCGUUGUUCGGAUUUACUGGGCGUAAAGGGCGCGUAGGCGGUCAGCACAAGUCAGUUGUGAAAUCUCCGGGCUUAACCCGGAAAGGUCAACUGAUACUGUGCGACUAGAGUGCGGAAGGGGCAACUGGAAUUCUCGGUGUAGCGGUGAAAUGCGUAGAUAUGACAUAGAACACCAAUUGCGAAGGCAGCUUACUACCCGAAUAUUGACACUGAGGCACGAAAGCGUGGGGAUCAAACAGG
rnacentral:rRNA from 1 species